GACGAAGGGGGCUAGCGUUGUUCGGAAUUACUGGGCGUAAAGCGCGCGCAGGCGGCUAUCCAAGUCAGUGGUGAAAGCCCGGAGCUCAACUCCGGAACUGCCAUUGAAACUGUUUAGCUUGAGGACGAGAGAGGUGAGUGGAAUUCCCAGUGUAGAGGUGAAAUUCGUAGAUAUUGGGAAGAACACCGGUGGCGAAGGCGGCUCACUGGCUCGUAUCUGACGCUCAGGCGCGAAAGCGUGGGGAGCAAACAGG
rnacentral:rRNA from 1 species